rnacentral:sRNA from 1 species
AAGGGACCUAGCGUAGUUCGGAAUUACUGGGCUUAAAGAGUUCGUAGGUGGUUGAAAAAGUUGGUGGUGAAAUCCCAGAGCUUAACUCUGGAACUGCCAUCAAAACUUCUCAGCUAGAGUAUGAUAGAGGAAAGCAGAAUUUCUAGUGUAGAGGUGAAAUUCGUAGAUAUUAGAAAGAAUACCAAUUGCGAAGGCAGCUUUCUGGAUCAUUACUGACACUGAGGAACGAAAGCAUGGGUAGCGAAGAGGAUUAGAUACCCUCGUAGUCCAUGCCGUAAACGAUGUGUGUUAGACGUUGGAAAUUUAUUUUCAGUGUCGCAGGGAAACCGAUAAACACACCGCCUGGGGAGUACGACCGCAAGGUUAAAACUCAAAUGAAUUGACGGGGACCCGCACAAGUAGUGGAGCAUGUGGUUUAAUUCGAAGAUACGCGCAGAACCUUACCAACACUUGACAUGUUCGUCGCGACUCUAAGAGAUUAGAGUUUUCGGUUCGGCCGGACGAAACACAGGUGCUGCAUGGCUGUCGUCAGCUCGUGUCGUGAGAUGUUGGGUUAAGUCCCGCAACGAGCGCAACCCUCACUUUUAGUUGCCAUCAUUAAGUUGGGCACUCUGAAAGAACUGCCAGUGAUAAGCUGGAGGAAGGUGGGGAUGACGUCAAGUCCUCAUGGCCCUUAUAUGUUGGGCUACACGCGUGCUACAAUGGCAUCUACAACAGGAAGCAAAACGGCAACGUUAAGCAAAUCCCGAAAAGAUGCCUCAGUUCGGAUUGCACUCUGCAACUCGAGUGCAUGAAGCUGGAAUUACUAGUAAUCGUGGAUCAGCGUGCCACGGUGAAUGCGUUCCCGGGUCUUGUACACACCGCCCGUCACACCAUGGGAGUUGGUUCUACCUUAAGGCAAGGUUUCAAACCCUUGACCACGGUAUAGUCAGCGACUGGGGUGAAGUCGUAACAAGGUAGCCGUAGGGGAACCUGCGGCUGGAUUACCUCCUUUCUAAGGAUGAGUGAAAGAGAAAAAUUUCACUCUAAAUAAUAUACAUCGGUAAUGUUGACCGUCCUCAUUUCUCUUCUUAAAGUAAUGUUUCCUUCUUGUAGGGCCGGUAGCUCAGUUGGUUAGAGCACACCCUUGAUAAGGGUGGGGUCGAAAGUUCGAGUCUUUCUCGGCCCACCAAAAACCUAAAUGGGGGAUUAGCUCAUCUGGGAGAGCGCCUGAUUUGCAUUCAGGAGGUAGCAGGUUCGAUCCCUGUAUCCUCCACCAGGAAACAUUUAGCUAUUAAAACUGUAAAUAAAAAUAAUUUAUAUCAAUAUCUAUAUCCGAACAUUAAAAGUUAUUAUUUAAUGUUCAAAAUAAAAAUUUGAUCACAACAUAGUUAAAUUUUCUUUAAAAAGAAUUUUUUUCUGUGCAUAAAUCAAGCGUUUAAGGGCGUGCAGUGGAUGCCUUGGCACUGAAAGCCGAUGAAGGACGUGAUAUACUGCGAUAAGUUUCGGGGAGCUGUAUGUAAGCUUUGAUCCGAAAAUUU